rnacentral:lncRNA from 1 species
GCUUGGUAACCAUAAAUGUCACUGCUGAGGGACAGCUGCCAAUGCUCUCCUUAGGAAACAAGAUCUGGGCUCUUUUUGUGAGAUGCACACAGAGCUCAGUAUAUUCCUAGAGACCAGACCUGUCUUCAUUUGGCAAGCUCUGGAAAGCUUCUAGAAACUUCCUUCUGGAGGGGAAAAAAAAAGAACUCAGGAGAAUGUUUUUAUCUGCUUUCGUACCAUUCUCUUCCUCUCUCUGUAAAUAAAUAAAGUGCUGAUAAAUUGGAACAUUCGAUGGACAGAAAAAUGAUGGGCAAAUAUCAUGCAAACUAUACCUAAAGAUCUCCAUUCUGUCCC